rnacentral:tRNA from 1 species
CUUGUAGCUCAGUGGAUAGAGUGUCCGACUCCGACUCGGGAGACCGCAGGUUCGAAUCCUGUCAGGCG